GCGGACGUGGUGAAAUUGGCAAACACGCUACCUUGAGGGGGUAGUGGGCGCAAGCCCUUGGAGGUUCAAGUCCUCUCGUCCGCA
rnacentral:tRNA from 1 species